UCUGCUGGUCUCACAGGGAUGCUGUAAGACAAAGGCUUUUUUUGUCCUAGAAAAGAAGUUAUGGAAGCUCAUAAUGUCUCCUUAGCGAUACAGAUCAGUCUGCAGUGACCAUAAGGGAUUUUCAAGGUAUUCUGGAUGAAGUGCUUUGAAGCAGUGAGGGACACCCUGCCCUCAACCUCAAAACUCGGGUGGUUCAUGCAAGAGCAAUUGGUUCAUCUUUGAGGCAGUUCUUGUGCCCUGGGUUUUGGAAGCUCUUUUGGAGCAGUAUGGAUCGGGAUGGUGAGAAUGGGCAGCCCCUGUGCAGGAUGCCCCAGAUGUUGUUUGUGUCUCACGUGUUUGUUCAUGCACAAGGAAUUUCCAGAAGCAGCUUUCUGAGAGCCUGUGUCCCACAGCUGCCCUAUGGAUGUGGUUCAAGAACUGGCCCCUGUCACCCACGGCAGCUCCCACCACUGCUCCAGGUUUGGAACAGCCAUGAGGAUCCUGUCCCCUGAGGUCUUCACAUCACUGCUUCUCCCAUUUCAUGUUCCUGUGUGAUUCCAGGGCUUUGUGUGAUCUGCAGGAGAGCUUCUGCCAGCCCUGCAGGGGUUUGCUAAAGCAUGCAGUGACAGCAAGGCACCAACCCUUUGCAGGAGCAGCUCUAGCGAUGGAGAUGGAGUCAGCCCCAUGGGUGCAUGCAAGAGCAGCUCUUGUGAGGAUUUCUCUUCUAGUCAUUGCCAAAAAGCUUUUGCAACCAAACAGAAAACUUCACUGCUUUGAAGGGCAGAGGUUAAAGGUACUCAGAGUCGUCACGGAGCACAAAGGUGGAAUCAGAGUCAGCCACGAGUAAAAUACAGACUCCUGGGCCCACAGUGUAAGUGGUUCCUCACCACUAGUCACAUAACAGCUUUGUUUUCUUCUCUCACACUUCUACAGCAUAUUGCAUACGAGAUUCCACUAAAGAAAUGACAUGACACAGUAUCAGAGCUUUUUCUUUUUCCAUCUCAUAGCAAGAAUAUAUAAUAAUCUCUCUGGGAAGCACGUCUCAGGCUAUCUCCAGGAACAAUAGAUGCUUGUAAGGCAUCCAGUGAAGUCAGAAUAGCUGGAGGCUGUGAGUCACAUCACAACUUCUUGUGCUUGCAUAGCGUUUCGCUUGCAGACUGAUCUGAGCAGGAGACAGGAAAUAACCAGCUAUAUUUAUUUUUAAUUGGGUACUUCUCAAGUUGGUGUUUCCUUGAAAACCAGGACUUGCCUUUUUAAUUGUCACACUGGGAAAGGCAGGAUCAUGGCAUGCAAACAGGGGGGCGUCUGUGCAUGCUUUUGCUCUUCGGAGCAGACCAUGGGAGCAGAAGAGGAGUACUGGGAGUCUGGAGGAGGAUUUCCAUGACACUACAGCCACAGGCCCUCUGCCAAACUGCUGCUCCUGAGUAGUGCUCCAGUACAGCUUUAUGGACUUGUUAACACAGCAGAUUCAGCCUCUUGUUCGGCUUCUGUAAGCGAUGGUUUGCUCUUCUUUAUGGUCCCUCCGGCCUCCUCAGAGCACAGUGCUAAUGCUCCCUGCACAUCUGUUACCUGAGGGCUUUUAACCACUUGACCCAGCCACAACCCAGGCACUCCUCUUUCUGUUGGAGCUGCACCCUUCUCAGCCUUUGUGCUUGUUCUUGGUGUUGCCGUUGAAUCAUAGAACCAUAGAAUGGUUUGGGUUAGAAAGGACCAUGAGAUCAUCCAGUCCAACCCCUGCAAUGAGCAGGGACAUCUUCAACCAGGUCAGGUUGCCCAGAACCACAUCCAGCCUGGCCUGGGAUGUCUCCAGGGAUGGUUCAUCCACCGCCUCUCUGGGCAACCUGUGCCAGUGUUUUACCACCCUCAUUGUACAGAAUUCCUUCCUCACAUCCAGCCUGAAUCUCCCUCUUUUAGGUUAAAACCAUCACCCCUCGUCCUGUUGCAACAGGCUCUGCUAAAAAGUCUCUCCCCAUCUUUUUUAUAGGCCCCUUUUAAGAACUGAAAGGCCACAACAAGGUCUACCCAGAGCCUUCUCUUCUCCAGGUUGAACAACCCCAGCUCUGUCAUCCCGUCUCCAGAGCAGAGCUGUUCCAGCCCUCUGAUCGUUUUUGUGGCCUUUCUCUGGUCCCUCACCAACAAGUCCAUGUCUUUCCUUGGAGCUUCCAUAAAGCUUCUUCAAAGUGCUAUAGAGGGAAGACCAACGCCAUCAAGGCAGGUCCCAAGCAUUUGGAGGUUCUUUAGACUAUAACCCUUGUGGUCUUCGUGCCUACAGCUGGAUUAAUGCACAACUUUUUCCUCCCUGAGCAGGUGUGGCCUGACAUCUGCAGACCUGGCCUUGGUGGUUUUGGACUGUUUUUGAUGGCUAUAACUCCAAUUUGCCAUAGGUUUUGAACCGCACACAAACCACGCACGAUUUGGGAGCUGCAAUCCUCAACCACCACCAAGGAUGUGGAGCAUGAUAUCCUGAUGGAAAAAUUACACGUUCUUUGACCAACACAUGCUUAUUCAUGAAAUCCAUUGCUUCUGUUGUGUAGAAGUCAAGAUGAUGUUUGAUUGCCUUCUCCAUAGUAUGGGUGGUGACACGUCACCCGUGCCACAGAAGUCACUAAAAAUACCAUUCCUGCCACUAGGAUUCACCAUGAGGUAAUGCAUGUUUUCCAGGAGUUUUUGUUCAUGCUACACUUUAAUGUAUAAUGCAGGGUUUUUAUUCAUUAGAUAAUAGAUACUUCAGGUAAUGAAAAUUCAUUCUGUGUAGCAGAAAUACCAAGAAGUGGCUUCUUGUAACUGUUCAAGGGCUCAAAAGUGGAUACUUGUAUGCUUUCAUGUUUGAUUCUUGUUCCACAUCACUUCAGAAGCAUAAUUUUUGUUGACAGAAAAUUGGCCAGGCUUAAUAAAACAAGGUAUUUCUAUAUCA